rnacentral:tRNA from 1 species
GCCUGGGUGGCUCACUUGGUUAAGCAUCUGACUUUGGCUCAGGUCACGAUCUCACGGUUCGUGAGUUCAAGCCCCACAUCAGGCU